rnacentral:antisense_RNA from 1 species
CGGGUUUCUAAGGCGUCGUCCCCUGACGGGAAGGCGACGUUGGGGGGCGGCUGGGUUUACCCUUCGAGGUGAGCGCGGCCUUGUUUUCAGGGACGCCCGGACGGGAGGCGUUUGUUGUUUUCGCAGCCGAGUCGUGGAAAUGUAUUGGCUCUUCAGGGCGGGUCUGAGCUCUGAUGGAUUUGUUGACUCCUCGGUGGGAGAAAGGCUCGGCCUACUGCAGGUGUUAACGCUAGGCCAGGCUGGAGCUGUGGACGUCAGUUUCUCAGCUCCCCGCUGUUCACUUCGAACGUGACGUGACCUCGAGGUCUGCUCUCCCCUUCCCUUUAGCUGACAAUGUGUCAGUGCUUGAAUAAGUCAGUCUGACA